rnacentral:piRNA from 1 species
AGCUGAGACAGACCUCUGCUGAGUAGC